rnacentral:lncRNA from 12 species
GUGUAUUUUCCUUUCCAGAUUUCUCCUUAUGAAGAAAUGACUGUUUCCUUCUCAGAUACUAGAAGUAAAAUAUUUGUUUUCAUGCAGAGUUGAAGAAUGAAGUAGCAGUCAAGAAAGUUCAAAUUUCAGAGAAGCGGCAUGUGACUGAAAACCAGAGUUACAAUGCUGGUUGUAAUCGUUGUGCUGUAGAACUACUGCUUGCAAUCAACUCUCACUCACUUGGGACUUUCCAAAUACUGUUUUCUCUAUCACUGUCC